rnacentral:lncRNA from 1 species
AUGAUCCACCCACCUCGGCCUCCCAAAGUGCUGGGAUUACAGGCGUAAGCCACCGUGCCCGGCCCUUUUUUCCUUUUUAGUUUAUUUUUUUCUUUUUUGAGACAGAGUUUCGCUCUUAUUGCCCAGGCUGGAGUGCAAUGGUGCGAUCUUGGCUCACCGCAACCUCUGCCUCCUGAGUUGAAGCGAUACUCCUACCUCAGCCUCCCAAGUAGCUGGGAUUACAAGCAUGCACCACCAUACCCUGCUAAUUUUGUAUUUUUAGUAGAGACGGAGUUUCACCAUGUUGGCCAGAAUGGUCUCGAUCUCCUGACCUCGUGAUCCGCCUG